AGAGCCCUACUCUGUAGCAGGACGCGCGAAGCGACGAGAGUCGAACGCCACACACCGAGAGCGUUCAUCGCUGGCUGCGGAAUCCAAAAUAACUAAUCGCGGUCUUGAACGUA
rnacentral:ribozyme from 1 species